rnacentral:rRNA from 1 species
GACGAACGCUGGCGGCGUGCUUAACACAUGCAAGUCGAACGGAAAGGCCCUGCUUUUGUGGGGUGCUCGAUUGGCGAACGGGUGAGUAACACGUGAGUAACCUGCCCUUGACUUUGGGAUAACUUCAGGAAACUGGGGCUAAUACCGGAUAGGAGCUCCUGCUGCAUGGUUGGGGUUGGAAAGUUUCGGCGGUUGGGGAUGGACUCGCGGCUUAUCAGCUUGUUGGUGGGGUAGUGGCUUACCAAGGCUUUGACGGGUAGCCGGCCUGAGAGGGUGACCGGCCACAUUGGGACUGAGAUACGGCCCAGACUCCUACGGGAGGCAGCAGUGGGGAAUAUUGCACAAUGGGCGGAAGCCUGAUGCAGCAACGCCGCGUGCGGGAUGACGGCCUUCGGGUUGUAAACCGCUUUCGCCUGUGACGAAGCGUGAGUGACGGUAAUGGGUAAAGAAGCACCGGCUAACUACGUG